CCUCGACUCAGCCCAUCAAGCCCAUAAACAAUGAGGUUCGCAGUUGUAGUGCUGCUCUCCUGUAUGCUCAUCCAUGAAGCUCCUCCACCGCAGUUACCCAACGGCAUGUCCUGCUACACCUACAUCAAUAAUACCUGCUCAGGAACUGUGAAAUGUGUGGGGGAUCAGAAUUAUUGCAUCUCUUCAGACACAGUUGUACAAGGAAGCAAAUUCUUGACUUCUGGAUGCACAACCAAGAGCUUCUGUGAUGCCUCUGGAAUGUUAGGUGCACAGACAGCGGGCCUAGGGUCUGUAAAGUGCUGUCAGGAGAACCUGUGUAACGGCGCUGAGAGUUUCACACUGAGCUUCUUCUUUAUGAUCAUCCUUUUGUCUGCUCCAUCAUCUUAUACUGAAAAAAGGAAAAACUCUCUAGAUGAAUGAAGAAGAAAUUUUAAGAGGAACCAGACUCAAAAGAGAAACUCAUCCUCAUUUAGAAAGUUCAUAUAAACUGUCAGAGUUUCCUGUAGAAAUCACGCAGUGUGAAAUAAAUCCCUCCCCUGUUCAUUUAUGGACGAGCAUAAAACGGACGCUUCAUCAGCUACUUCAUUUUAUUUACUUUCCAAACCCAUGAACAAUGAAGUUCUCCAUUGUACUGCUGCUCUCCUGUAUGCUCGUUCCUGAAGUGCUGAUGUUAACGUGUCAGCAGUGCAUUUCGACAAUCAAUUCACCAUGUCCAAGUACGCCGUUAAACUGUUCAAAUGUGUGUUCCAGUACCACUGUUUCUUACUACUCAAGUACUUCGUAUGCGACAGUUACUCUACAGAACUGCACAACACUAGGCUUUUGUUUAAAUGGAAGCCUGAAUUUGGGAUCAUCAAACUUACUUGUAAAUACUCAAUGCUGCAGCACUGAUUUCUGCAACAACCAAACACUACCAGCUUCUCCACAGCAGUUACCCAACGGCAUGUCCUGCUACACCUGCAUCAAUAAUACCUGCUCAGGAACCGUGCAAUGUGUGGGGGAUCAGAAUUAUUGCGUCUCUCCAUCUAAUCAUUCUCACCCACUUCAGGGAACAUUGUCUCGACUCUGGCAGGAUGCACAACCAAGAGCUUCUGUGAUGUCGCUGCAUCAUUGACUCAGCUAACUGGCAAUUCGACUGUAAAAUGCUGUCAGGGGAACCUGUGUAACGAUGCUAAGAGCUUAACACUGAGCUUCCUCCCCAUGAUCAUCCCUCUGCUCUGCUCCAUCAUCUUCUACUGAGCUUUAGAAAAAGUAUAAUAUUUUUAAGGUGUUGAUUAAAUAAGUUCCUCCUUUUACAAUGAUUUCUAUUAAAUUCAUCUUAAUAAAAUGGUUGUUAUGCCAUUUUACAUUCUGAAAAAUUAUGAUAAUCCCGAUAAAAUCAUAUAAAGCUGGACAGCAUUUGUGUUAAGAAUGAACAUCCCUUUUAUCUUCCCUUCAUCCAAUCUGGUGUGGAUUCAGGUUUUCACGUCUCUAGAAUCUUUGUUUGUCCAAUAAAUGGUGCAAGAAAAAUAAAA